CCUACGGGUGGCAGCAGUCGAGAAUCAUUCACAAUGGGGGAAACCCUGAUGGUGCGACGCCGCGUGGGGGAAUGAAGGUCUUCGGAUUGUAAAACCCUGUUGUUAGAGAAGAAAGUGCGUGAGUGUAACUGUUCACGUUUCGACGGUAUCUAACCAGAAAGCCCCGGCUAACUACGUGCCAGCAGCCGCGGUAAUACGUAGGUGGCAAGCGUUAUCCGGAUUUCUUGGGCGUAAAGGGAACGCAGGCGGUCUUUUAAGUCUGAUGUGAAAGCCGUCGGCUUAACCGGAGUAGUGCAUUGGAAACUGGGAGACUUGAGUGCAGAAGAGGAGAGUGGAACUCCAUGUGUAGCGGUGAAAUGCGUAGAUAUAUGGAAGAACACCAGUGGCGAAAGCGGCUCUCUGGUCUGUAACUGACGCUGAGGUUCGAAAGCGUGGGUAGCAAACAGGAUUAGAUACCCGUGUAGUC
rnacentral:rRNA from 1 species